rnacentral:lncRNA from 1 species
AGAGAAUUUCCAUGCAGGGAAACAGUUCGUUUUCUCCUUCCCACACCCAUACUUCAAAGUCAUACAAGAACUCCUUCAGAAAUUGCUCUCAGGUAGGUAUAGGUCAUAAGAAGACUCUUCUCUCUCCCUGUCAAUAGAUGGUCAGCGGAGCUGUUAAGGGCUAACAUUUUCUGUUUGGAAAAAAAAAAAAAGGCAAACACCAAACAGCACAAGCAGAUGUCAUUCCUGGGGACUCUCUCCUGUGGAUGCACUCGGAAUAGCCAUCCUCUGAGCGAUCUCAACAGCAGCUGGAAAUCACAGGGCAGAAACUGUGUGAACAGUUUCCUUUAGUCUCCUUUAACAGCCGUCUCCCAGUGCAUCUCCCCACAGUCCCCCCACCCAGCAGUGGCACUGCAUGGGGUCGGUCCAGUCUCCUUGAACUGUUUUCCUGAGGGCUGAGCUUUUUCCCUCUUUUCUGUGAAAGUUCAGUCCAUCUCAAGAGGCUGGAGAGAAUUCAAGAUAAACAAAAACUCCAUAUUCUGUGAGUUUUAAACAUACCCUUUGUUUGUUACCAGUUCUGUUACUAUUUUCCCCCUGGAGCUUAGAAUUUCACAAUACCAAGAUUUUCAGGACCCAUUUCUUUUCCUGUUCCUAUGGCACAGUUUGCUCAUUGGGACUGCCAGAACUGCCAGGGACAUUGAGAAAGGAACAGCAGAAGGAGGUCAGCUCCAAAGGGCACUACCAGGGCUAGAAAACACCAACCACCCCUCCCAGGCAAGCAGUAGCCUUCCAGAGAGGCAAUGUAAGAUCUCAGGAUGGCACUGGUAACAGGAGUAAAUGAAUCAGAGAGUGAAUGAUCCUUCUGGUGUGAGUAAGCAAGAUAGAACAAUGAUUUGAAGGUGUUUUUUUUUUUUUUUUUUUUUUUUUUUUUUUUUUUUUUUCCCAAGAGAAGGGUUCUGUACAUAGGAUGGGUUCAAGGCAGAGGCUCGCAGUCAGCAUUUGACAUCUUGAGUCUGGCCUUUCCAUCGCUGUUUCAAGGCACCAAAGCUCCGUACUCUGCCCGAUGGAGAGGCAGGUCCUGGGCACGUCCAUCCCAGGACACCUUGAGAACAAUUCCUGUUUUGCAGAGGCUGGAAGACAAAGCUGUUUCUGAGGACGUCCUGGACGUCAGCGGGGCCGCUCAGCCGCCGGUGGCACUGCCACU